AUAACUGAUUAUUUAGUAAUCGUUCUAUUGAGGCUAAAAGCCUUACCUGUUAAAAACCAAACUUCCUGACAAUUUCUCGAAUUUUCACUAUAAACAACACAAAAUAAAUGAACUGUUAUUGAAUUAUUUGAAGAUUGCGUCAAAUUUGGACGUUUUGCAUGGUGGGGAAAAAUAGAGAUCUGGCAGCUCAGCAAGAUGGGCUUAAUCGAAAAUUUACUUUAAAGCUCUCUAGUUUUGUGCUUACCAAAUUUAUCCGGUUUAUCAUCGAAGUUUUAAAUAAACCAUCAGAGACAAGUAGAGACUAGAAAGUAGGCGUGAAAAAAUGUCCCAAAAAUCGCUGUAUUUCGGUCUCUUUGCUAUGUUUGUUGAAUUAUCCCAAAGCUUAUGUUGCCAUGUCGUUUUAUUUAUAGCAUGUAAUGCAAAAAUAAUGGUUUUGUUUCCUUAUCUAAUCCAUUGACGAAAAACCGCACAUGGUGUUGCCAUUUGGGAGUUGAUAAUUAACGGCACCGCUGCUUGCUGCAAUCGCUAACCCUACUUAUGCCUUAUUUUGACGGCUACCCAUAUAAACAUUAAUAUAUAUGUUUUUUGUUUGAGAUUAUUGAGUUUUGUGAUUUGUGGUUUGAUAUCGAAUGCGUGAUUGUGGUCAGUUCUUAGUUUGUGGCGUGUUUUUAGUUGUUGGUGGGUUCUGUUCGGCACGCUUUGUUUAUGUUGCAUGGCUUUUGUUACUGGGGUUUUCGGUAUAUCGGGUUUUCGUCUGUAUAAUGCUAGGAAAUUUGUACAGUAUAUUAAUUUAGUAAGAUGCCCAUGCCAGCAAGCAGCUAAUAUGGAGAGAAUUUGUCGCAAAGUUUCGUUGGUAAGAAUCCAACACUAUCCAGGGUAUCGGACUACUGGGUGUCUUCGCGAAGAUGUUGAUCCUCCAGCAGCCGGGCAAAAAAAUAAACAGAAAGUUGUAGAUUUUUUUAGUUGACAGGUAAAAGUUUUUUUUAUGUGCAUUGAUUGAUUGUCUUAGUAUUAGGAUUAUUCCUGUUAAACAAUAAACAAUUGAAUUGAAUUGAGUAAAAUGAA